GAACUGAACACGGUCCAGAUCCUACGGAGCAGCAGUGGGGAAUUUUGCGCAUGGGGCUUAACGCCUGACGCAGCAACGCCGCGUGGAGGAUGAAGGUCUUUGGAUUGUAAACUCCUGUCAGCAGGGAAAAAGCAAAUCGGC
rnacentral:rRNA from 1 species